GACGAACGCUGGCGGCGUGCUUAACACAUGCAAGUCGAACGGAAAGGCCCUGCUUUUGUGGGGUGCUCGAGUGGCGAACGGGUGAGUAACACGUGAGUAACCUGCCCUUGACUUUGGGAUAACUUCAGGAAACUGGGGCUACUACCGGAUAGGAGCUCCUGCUGCAUGGUGGGGGUUGGAAAGUUUCUGCGGUUGGGGAUGGACUCGCGGCUUAUCAGCUUGUUGGUGGGGUAGUGGCUUACCAAGGCUUUGACGGGUAGCCGGCCUGAGAGGGUGACCGGCCACAUGGGGACUGAGGUACGGCCCAGACGCCUACGGUAGGCAGCAGUGGCGAGUAUUGCACAAUGGGCGGAAGCCUGAGGCAGCAACGCCGCGGGCGGGAUGACGGCCUGCGGGGUGUAAACCGCUGUCGCCUGUGACGACGCGUGAGUGACGGUAAUGGGUAAAUAAGCACCGGCUAACUACGUG
rnacentral:rRNA from 1 species